rnacentral:rRNA from 1 species
UGGGGAAUUUUGGACAAUGGGCGCAAGCCUGAUCCGGCCAUGCCGCGUGCGGGAAGAAGGCCUUCGGGUUGUAAACCGCUUUUGUCAGGGAAGAAAUCUUCUGAGUUAAUACCUCGGGAGGAUGACGGUACCUGAAGAAUAAGCACCGGCUAACUACGUGCCAGCAGCCGCGGUAAUACGUAGGGUGCAAGCAUUAAUCGGAAUUACUGGGCGUAAAGCGUGCGCAGGCGGUUUUGUAAGACAGAGGUGAAAUCCCCGGGCUCAACCUGGGAACUGCCUUUGUGACUGCAAGGCUUGAGUGCGGCAGAGGGGGAUGGAAUUCCGCGUGUAGCAGUGAAAUGCGUAGAUAUGCGGAGGAACACCGAUGGCGAAGGCAAUCCCCUGGGCCUGCACUGACGCUCAUGCACGAAAGCGUGGGGAGCAAAACAGGAUUAGAUACCCUGGUAGUCCACGCCCUAAAACGAUGUCAACUGGUUGUUGGGAAGGUUCCUUCUCAGUAACGUAGCUAACGCGUGAAGUUGACCGCCUGGGGAGUACGGCCGCAAGGUUGAAAC